ACGGGUGAGUAAUGUCUGGGAAACUGCCUGAUGGAGGGGGAUAACUACUGGAAACGGUAGCUAAUACCGCAUAACGUCGCAAGACCAAAGAGGGGGACCUUCGGGCCUCUUGCCAUCGGAUGUGCCCAGAUGGGAUUAGCUAGUAGGUGGGGUAACGGCUCACCUAGGCGACGAUCCCUAGCUGGUCUGAGAGGAUGACCAGCCACACUGGGACUGAGACACGGCCCAGACUCCUACGGGAGGCAGCAUG
rnacentral:rRNA from 1 species